rnacentral:lncRNA from 1 species
UUCUAAAAGCACCCCAGCUGCACUCUAUAUAUAUAUAUAUAUAUAUAUUCGAAUUCAAAAAUUCAAAAUUCAAAAUUCCUGUAUUGAUCAAAAUCUCGGAUAUUACAUUAUAUGUUGGACUAACUCGCUUAUAUUGCCUCCUUUCGACCUAGUAGGUUGAGCUCUUUCCUUGGAUGCCCAUACCCACUGGGAACUAUGUUUAUAGUUCUCACCUCUAUAUUUGUCAGGUUCACACGUAAGCGGUGCAGCGGCGCAAGAAAAGGGCGUAGCUCAGUAGAUAGCAUCCUACCACUUGUGACCAGAGAUAGAUGUACCCUGCAUCAGAGUAGCUUAAGGGUAUAGAAAGAAAAGAAUGAAAAGAAAUUGUAAUAACAAUUUUAUUGUAUUUGGAAAGGAAACAAAAAUGUAAUGUGAAUGCUUGUAAUAACGUAGUUAUUUAUGUUUAUGAUGCUUUCCUUAUACAAUUUGUGUAUAAAUUCUAUUCAUGUUUGGAAUGUUUUGAAUUGUACCGAUUGUGAUGCCGUGGGCGGGUAGGUGAAACUUUGUCCGUUCGGCGGGUCUGGUGCAUGCGCGCCUGUGUGGGGCUUCUUCCACCUAUUUAGGGAAGGGACGGCAGGGUGUGACAUAUAUAGUAAAAUCCUCUCUCCUUUUUGUAACAGGAAAGGUUAAAUGUUUUUCUUUUAACAGUAAUGAUCUUUUUUUAAUACAGAAAAAUUAAACCCUCUUUUUUUUUUUUAACAACGGUAUACAACAAAAGUUAUAUGUAAACAAAGAUUUGCAAUUUGAAUUGUAAAGAUAUGCAAUUUGUUGGUUUAAAUAGGCUAGCAUCCUACUUUGUGGCGAGAGGCCAAGUUGGGCCGAGUCACCUUUUGAAAUGGCGUGAGGUUGGGUUGGGCUGAGUCAUAUUCGAAGUGGCGUGAGGCUAGUUGGGACAAGUCACAAUCGAGACCCGUGGGUGCUGCAACUAUACGCUUUAAGUGAAUUGAUUGCGUAUAUAUCUAACAGCCCGAGCUUUGGGAUUAAUGGUUAGCGCCAACGAUCCGACACAAUUAAUGGUUAGCACCAACGAUCCGACAAGAGGUAUCAGAGCCAGAGGUCACGGGUUCGAUUCCUGCAUACUGCAAAUGUGUGCAGGUACUGGAGAAGGUAUUGUUGGCUUAAAUAGGCUAGCAUCCUGCUUUGUGGCGGGAGGCUAGGUUGGGCCGAGUCACUAUUUGACAUGGCGUGAGGCUGGAUUAGGCAGAGUCAUGUUCGAAGUAGCGUGAGGCUAGUUGGGCCGAGUCACAAUCGAGACCCGUGGGCGCUGUAUCUAUACGCUUUAAGUUAAUUUGUUUAAGUAUUUCUAACAGCUCGAGCUUUUGGGAAUAAUAGUUAACGCCAACGAUCCGACACAAUUAACAAUUUAAAAUGCUAAUCCCAAAAUAUUUAAAUUUAUAUAACAAUCAUACAAUCAAGUUGUCAAACAAGAAUUAUAUGCAAUAUCUUUUUUCUUUAAUGGAUUAGCACUCGUUAGAUUUUUAAUCACAAUCAGAUUGGAAACUAUACCUUAGAUUGUGAGGGAAAAUCUGCACUGAAAAUUCGAUCAUGAUUAGUAAUCUAACUAAUUUUGUGAUAAAAAUAAAAUCGAACUUAUAGAUCAACGCAAAUAUCCAAAUAAAGAUUUGAUCAAUCCGGAAGUAUGCGAGCCACUACCCGAAGGAGUAUUCCCGUCCUUACGUGCGGGAUCAACCCGUAACAAACCAUAGGGGCAAAUAUGAAUAUCACUGGACUUUUGAAGGGACAAAUCUGAAAACUUGUACUAAUUUAUAGGAAUAUAUCUGUUAUUCAAUAUGUUUACAAGGAGCUGUAUGAAAUUAUCCCUUUAUUUUGAGUUGAAGGGUUAUGAGUUGAGAGUUUAAUCAGUAACUGAGUAAUAUU